UCCCUGAUGGUCUAGUGGUUAUGAUUCAGCGUUCUCACCGCUGCGGCCCGGGUUCGAUUCCCGGUCAGGGAA
rfam:Cariama cristata contig61178, whole genome shotgun sequence.